GUAGGGAAUCUUCCACAAUGGACGCAAGUCUGAUGGAGCAACGCCGCGUGAGUGAAGAAGGUCUUCGGAUCGUAAAACUCUGUUGUUAGAGAAGAACACGAGUGAGAGUAACUGUUCAUUCGAUGACGGUAUCUAACCAGCAAGUCACGGCUAACUACGUGCCAG
rnacentral:rRNA from 1 species